GGAAGUGGAGCGGUGCCAACGUGCCGGGCCUGGGCGAGGUGAAGGGCGCUCGUCGUCUGGACCCUAGCUCGGUCCCGUGCCUUGGCCACCCACGGACCUUCCUUGCUGCGAGCCUCCCGGCUGUCUAGUUUCCGGCUCAGCCGGAGGACGGGCCGGAAGGCUCUUCGGCCGCCAUAGAACGAUCAACUUAGAACUGGCACGGACCAGGGGAAUCCGACUGUCUAAUUAAAACAAAGCAUUGCGAUGGCCCUAAGGGGUGAUGACGCAAUGUGAUUUCUGCCCAGUGCUCUGAAUGUCAACGUGAAGAAAUUCAAGCAAGCGCGGGUAA
rnacentral:rRNA from 1 species